UGUUUCUGGCAAGAUCACGUGGCCUGCAUUUACUGACAUACACAACACAAGUAUAAAAACAUAUACCUGGAAAUGCAUAUCUAUGCUUUUUCUUUCUCCUGUGCAUUAAUCUUUCUCCUCUGUUUUCACAGGCCAAGAAGGAAACGUGUAGUUAAUGAAAACAAAAGCAUUUCAUCAGGGAUCAGCAAAACACUGAAUAAAUGCAGGAAGGGGAAAAUACCAGGACUAUUGAUUGGAAAGUAGCAUGUAUUGCCUUGCCCUUCACUUCGCUCCUGGAAAUAAUACUCAGGCAGGAAGAGGUUAUCAGCUGUGGGUAGUCUGAGGCAAAUAGCUGCUCUCUGUGCAUGGAUCAGCUGCACUCUGCACAGUGGAGGUUUAGGUGUCCUCAAAACAUCGUACAUGUGCUAUCAAUAUACAUGCAGCAAUCUUACUGUGCAUGUGCAAGCCAUUUUUGCUUUGCAUCUACAGAGGGUCUGAUGUGUCCAACAUGCACAGGACUCCUUGCAUAGUACCUGCACCCGUGUUUCCCUUGGACAUUUCCAGCAAAUGGAGCUCUCAUUUUGGCCAUGGCCUUUUGGUAGCUCCUUAUGUGAAUAUGCUAUUAAGAACACUUCCUUCACACUGCUGGGCAGAUCUGCUCUUCACAUUUUCAGAGAAAUUUAAUUUCUCUUGGCUUUCCCCGUCCAUAGUAAAGCUGGUCCUCACUAGUUAAAGGGAGAUCUCCCUCCUGUAUGAAAGGUACAAAGUUUGGAGCCAGUGAUCCUAUUUCUGCCUCAGUGUCUUGUGUAGAAAAUACAGAGCUGUUACCCUACCUUUCAUUUUGUCUCUAUUCCCACAUUCUUUUGACCAGUUUUCUGUAAUCACAGGAGAAACUAGUUCAGCAAACUUCUCAAGUGGACAAGAAGAGGUGCAUCCUGGCAGGGUCAGUGGGAGAAUAUGUAAAGAGCUACAUUGUCUGCUGCCUGAUUCAGUUGCAUGCAGGAAAAAUGAGAGAGGAGGACUUCUGUGUCACUGCUAUUUCCUUGGUGUUUUGACAUGCUGACAUACAUUGGUGUCAGGUGGCCAUGUAGUUGUGGUAAGCAGCUGAUUUUGGAUAAGAAGCCUCUGUCUCCAUAAUGGGGAGCAUUUCCUCUGCAUUGGUUUGAGAUGAAGCAUUUAAAUGGCUUGCACUACCUGUCCUAUGAGGGCUGCCAGAGCUAGGAAGGCUUUCUGCUGGUGCCCAUUUUGGGUGUUAAGGUAAUAUGGAAAAAACAAGCUUGUUUUAAUGUGUAUUAAGAAAGAGCUAGAACUGAUUGUUUCAUGCAGUUGG